GCUGACCAGCUCAGCAAGCAGAUGAAAGAACAAAGGUUGACUUCAUCGGACGCUGGAAAGGGCCAUUGUAAAAGCUGAAAGCGACUGCGUCUCCGUUUUCUUCCCUGGCGGAUAACUGUCUAUAAUUACAGCGAAAAGCUCUGCCUUCUUUUCUACAGUUAACUAUUUUGCACGCGGUGUAUUUGAGAGGUCUGAGGAAUACGGACUGACUUCUUGAUUUGCACCCAUGCCCCCUCCUCUAAAAUACCUUUCAAUACAUCCGUUUAAAUCAAUUUCAUUGUAUAACUUAAUACUUUGAACACUAAGUAUUCGCUAAGAGUUUAGGCGGGCUGAAAUGGCGUGACGGACUUGCCGCUCUUGAGAACCAAGCAAGAUAUGCAAAAUAUGUCAGCGUGUACCGACCUAUUAAUGAACUCAGUUUUAACGGUUAAAGUUUUUAUUUAAUUGUUUUCUAAGCGAGGCAUUCGAAAUAACAUUCCAAAACAGACUGCAACUACAAACAAUGUUAAAAUGUCAACCUACCGUUCCACCAUGCACAGCUUGCAAAAAAGCGUUAGGCCGCGAAAAGCAUUGUGGGCGCUGUUAAGUGGUCACGUGCUGUGCGGCGGGCCCGUUUGACUUCUGGCCGAAGGUAACUUUAGUGUUAUAGUAGCUGCGUUUCGUCAAAAUCUCGUCCAAGUUACAGCCAGUGCAAAGAGCAAGAGACUGCGGUGAGUGUUGAUUUAAAACUUUAUUUGUGUUCUUUAGAGGCAGUACAGUUGUCAAAUUGGCACGUUUUCCAGCCAAUGGUUCUCAUGACACCAGCAGCACAGGCGAUUUGGGCCGGAGGUGGACACUUCACCUCGUUUAGAGUGGUAAACUGUACAGUCAUAGGACGUGAACAAUUGCAUGGUAAAAAUACAAAGAUGUAAUAUAUUUAGUAAUAUAUUUAGCUGUGGCCUCGGUUUAUACAAAUAAGAGAAUACAUCGUUAAUAAUAAUUCUUUACAUUUAUAUAGCAGUUUUCUCACUACUUGGAGUACUGCAGUGAAAGGGGUAGCCGCCACUACUUCGUAGCAUCUGCCUGGAUGAUGUGACAGUAGCCAUGUUUGCACGAGUACGCACACCACACAUUUAUUAUGUGGUGAAGUUGUGAGAAGAGCCAGUUAGAGAAGUGAGGUGAUUGGGAGGGGAGAGGGGGCAGAAUGGUUAGGCUAUGGUGGACAUUUUAGCCAGGACAUUAGGAUAAACCCUAGUCUUUUCGAAAGAUGCCCAGGGAUUUUUUAUGACCCCAGAGAGUAAGUACCUCAGUUUUAUCUGAAGGAUGGCACCAUUUUUUACAGCACAGCAUCCUCAUCACUGCACUGGAGUAUUGGGAUCAAUAUUAACACCACAGCGUAAGUGCCCACUGCUGGCGUCGACAAAACCUCUUCCAGCAGCAAUCCAGGGUUAUCCUAGAUGGCCUCCCAUCCAAGUACUUGCUGGGAUGAAUAUGCAUAGCUUAAUGUUGAUGACCUGUUCUGAAAUGCAUGUGGAAUGGAUCUUUCAGCCAGCUGAGAAAUAAAGGUGCAAAAUAAGUGACUAAUAUUGACAAAUCAACUUGGGGAAUUUUCUGCAGUUUAUCAAAGAUAAGUUUGGUGUUUUUCAAGUCAAUGUUAUUUCGUCAUAAUCAUGCUAUAUACAAAUAUUCACAUGAAACAGCAUUCUGAGGUGAAGCAUGUUUUACAGAUUUAAAAAAAUUACUGUUCCAUUUCUGCAAAGGAGCUUAUGGGUGCCAGGGUCCCAUUCUGAAGAAAAAUCCUUAAAACUUGAAGAAUACAUCCAUUUUCAAGCCAAAAAUGUUAGAGCAUUGAUCCACGUCUUGAGAUUUCACACAUAUUACAGCAUUUUACACAUAUACACAGGU